AAGCAACAACCUACUCAAAACUCAUCUUUUUGUAUCAAUGCACCAUGUGACUCCCUCAUUUGGACUUCUGCAGGAACAUGUCAGGACAGGACAAUCAGACAAAACAAUUUACAAGGAAAUAGAUGAUUUGGACAACGUUGGCUACAAACUGACAUAAUCAACUUUUGGAGAAAACUGCAAUCAACAGUGGCAGAAUGCACAUUCUUUUCAAGCGCACAUGGAAGAUGCACAACGCGGGAAAAUAAAAUGUGAAUCUCAAAAAUAUCAGUUACUGAAAUUUUACAGAAUACAUUCUUUGACCACAAAAGAAACUAAAAGAAA
rnacentral:lncRNA from 1 species